rnacentral:pre_miRNA from 1 species
AGAGGAAUAGCUGGGUCAGAUGGUGGUUCCAUUCCCAGAUUUCCAAGGAAUCUCCAUACUGCUUUCCAAAUUGUCUACACCAAUUUACAGUCCCACCAGCAAU